rnacentral:rRNA from 1 species
AUUGAACGCUGGCGGCAGGCCUAACACAUGCAAGUCGAACGGUAGCACAGAGAGCUUGCUCUCGGGUGACGAGUGGCGGACGGGUGAGUAAUGUCUGGGAAACUGCCCGAUGGAGGGGGAUAACUACUGGAAACGGUAGCUAAUACCGCAUAACGUCGCAAGACCAAAGUGGGGGACCUUCGGGCCUCACACCAUCGGAUGUGCCCAGAUGGGAUUAGCUAGUAGGUGGGGUAAUGGCUCACCUAGGCGACGAUCCCUAGCUGGUCUGAGAGGAUGACCAGCCACACUGGAACUGAGAUACGGUCCAGACUCCUACGGGAGGCAGCAGUGGGGAAUAUUGCACAAUGGGCGCAAGCCUGAUGCAGCCAUGCCGCGUGUAUGAAGUAGGCCUUCGGGUUGUAAAGUACUUUCAGCGGGGAGGAAGGCGGUGGAGUUAAUAACUUCACCGAUUGACGUUACCCGCAGAAGAAGCACCGGCUAACUCCGUGCCAGCCGCCGCGGUAA